AGUUCGGACUGCAGUCUGCAACUCGACUGCACGAAGCUGGAAUCGCUAGUAAUCGCGGAUCAGCACGCCGCGGUGAAUACGUUCCCGGGCCUUGUACACACCGCCCGUCACACCAUGGGAGUCGGUAACACCCGAAGUCAGUAGUCCAACCUCGUGAGGACGCUGCCGAAGGUAGGAUUGGCGACUGGGGUGAAGUCGUAACAAGGUACC
rnacentral:rRNA from 1 species